rnacentral:rRNA from 1 species
CCUACGGGUGGCAUCAGUGAGGAAUAUUGGUCAAUGGUCGGAAGACUGAACCAGCCAAGUCGCGUGCAGGAGGAAGGUACUGCGGGUCGUAAACCGCUUUUGUCCGGGGACAAAAGCGGGGACGUGUCACCGGAUGAGUGUACCUGAAGAAUAAGCAUCGGCUAACUCCGUGCCAGCAGCCGCGGUAAUACGGAGGAUGAGAGCGUUAUCCGGAUUUAUUGGGUUUAAAGGGUGCGCAGGCGGUCUGUUAAGUCAGCGGUCAAAGCCCGGGGCUCAACCCCGGCCCGCCGUUGAAACUGGCAGUCUCGAGUUGGAGAGAGGUAUGCGGAAUUCGUGGUGUAGCGGUGAAAUGCAUAGAUAUCGCGCAGAACUCCGAUUGCGAAGGCAGCAUGCCGGCUCGACACUGACGCUGAGGCACGAAGGCGUGGGUAUCGAACAGGAUUAGAUACCCGUGUAGUC